UCUUCAUUCCUUCUUAAGUUUAUUCUUCACUAUCUAUUGUUUAUCUUCUUCUUCUCCUCCCCUGCGACAUCAUUUCUCACUCAACAUUGAUCCAUGGCAUGUGUUUAUCAGUGGAUUCGUCUUUACCAGCCUUCUCAUCACCUAACUCAAGACUAGAUUCACUGGACAGAGGUCGUUGGCUGUACGUGGAAGAAUACAUCGGACCCAUGCCGUCACCGUCGCUAACAAGAGAGGCGGCAAGAGAGUCAAUCAUCAACCCUAAUUUUUUAAUGGGUUUGGAUAUGUUGUUGAAUUUGGGCUUAGAUUUGGCCCAUUAACUAUUGGUCUGUAAAUGUAAAAAUGUUAAUUUGAGCCUUUUAUCUUUUAUGUUGGUCUAAUUUGGUUCGAAUUAACCGAAAUAGAUUUAAAUUCGGUUUAGUUCGGAAUUGAUUUUAAACCUAAUAACCGAACCAAAAUAACCAACUUCCGAACCGAA